GAGAGAUGGCCGAGCGGUUUAAGGCGCCAGUCUUGAAAACUGGUGAUGUUGAAAGGCACCGGGGGUUCGAAUCCCUCUCUCUCC
rnacentral:tRNA from 1 species